rnacentral:rRNA from 1 species
UCAGGAUGAACGCUAGCUACAGGCUUAACACAUGCAAGUCGAGGGGCAGCAUUGGGAUAGCUUGCUAUCCAGAUGGCGACCGGCGCACGGGUGAGUAACGCGUAUCCAACCUUCCCUAUAGUAGAGAAUAGCCCGGCGAAAGUCGGAUUAAUGCUCUAUGUUGUGUUUUGAGGACAUCUGACGAACACCAAAGGUUCACCGCUAUAGGAUGGGGAUGCGUCUGAUUAGCUUGUUGGCGGGGUAACGGCCCACCAAGGCGACGAUCAGUAGGGGUUCUGAGAGGAAGGUCCCCCACAUUGGUACUGAGACACGGACCAAACUCCUACGGGAGGCAGCAGUGAGGAAUAUUGGUCAAUGGGCGAGAGCCUGAACCAGCCAAGUAGCGUGCAGGAUUGACUGCCCUAUGGGUUGUAAACUGCUUUUAUCAGGGAAUAAAGUGCGGCACGUGUGCCGUUUUGUAUGUACCUGAUGAAUAAGGACCGGCUAAUUCCGUGCCAGCCGCUGC